GUAAGGGAUAUUGCGCAAUGGGCGAAAGCCUGACGCAGCAACGCCGCGUGAAGGAUGAAGGCCUUCGGGUCGUAAACUUCUUUGGACGGGGACGAGGAAGGACGGUACCCGUCGAACAAGUCACGGCUAACUACGUGCCAGCAGCCGCGGUAAAACGUAGGUGGCAAGCGUUAUCCGGAUUUACUGGGCGUAAAGCGUGUGCAGGCGGCGCUCCAAGUGGUGUAUGAAAUCGCUCGGCUCAACCGGGCGCGGUUAUGCCAGACUGGAGUGCUAGAGGCUGAAAGAGGGUGGUGGAAUUCCGGGUGUAGUGGUGAAAUGCGUAGAGAUCCGGAGGAACCCCAGAGGCGAAGGCGGCCACCUGGUUCAGCACUGACGCUCAGACACGACAGCAUGGGGAGCGAACGGGAUUAGAUACCCUUGUAGUCC
rnacentral:rRNA from 1 species